GAAGCAGAGAGGAAGAAGCUGAUAAAAAGUCAUGAAGACAAGAAGGCUUCAAUUAUGAAGAAAUACUGGGAGGAGCUGCUUGAGUUGGAAAAAAAGUUGGAAAAUGAUUUAAACCAACUCAUGGAAAAGUACAACAAAAAUCACCCUGAGAUGCAAACCAGCAACAACUAGCUAUCAAUUUUAAGCUGAAGGGAGAGUAAGAGAAUAGAGAAGAUACUGAAUACAGAAUCUGUACAUGCAUACACUGGUAAACAGCAUGAAAAAAGAGAAUUUAUUUUCUUUUGAAAGAAAAAGAUAGGAACCAAAAACUGAUUCUUAUCACUUUUCAUGUUUUGUUUCUGAGCUGCCUGUAAUGGUAAUUUCAUCCCAUAGUCCUUACUGCAAAAAUUUCAUCUUUUCCAUAUGUACUCUUUAUGUUCCAAUUCUGGACUUGCAGGAAGUGAAAUCUUCACGAUUUUGAUGAUUAAAA
rnacentral:misc_RNA from 1 species